GGACAGCCUGGCAGUGCGUGGUCUGGUUCUCCAGAGCUGUAGCUCACUUUAGAGACGGCCUGGGAAGGCGGGGAGGAAAAGGGGUGCGGGAAAUUUAAAAGGGAAGGAAAAGAACUUCCUUUUCUUCUCAUCCGCUUCCUAUUUAUUUAUUUAUUUCUGGAACACUUCUUUCUUAUUGGACGAAGAGACGGAAGAGAUUGCUUCAUUUUACAGUCACCCUAGAAACGCCUCCGUCCUUCUCAGAAAGGAGAGUUGGCAGCGGGUCUGGCUGGCAUUGUGGGAUCUGUACAGGAUCCGCUCUUUGCUCCCGGUCCACGCCGAAGCUGUCAUCGGCUUAGAAUAGCGGUUAAGAAGUGUGGUGUGGAUGGAUGGACGGACCUACCACACGAAAAGCUCAGAAGCCCAAAUGUCUCCAUCCUUAACCUUAACUUGACUUUUAUAUGCACCCAUUGCUCCUCUGCACAGAGUGGUGUACAAGAGCUUUGAACACUAAUUUCUCAGGGUUGAUCUACAUAGUUAUUGAUGUUGGAACACAUAACCCCAAGAAUCAAACCCAAGAUCCAAGACAAUCAAAAAUUGGGAAACUAUGGAGGAGAUAAAUAAGUUCCAUAGUUAAGAGUCUAAAACGCUGACAGCAGUCUGAGAUUUCCAAAAUAAACAGGUUAUUGUUUGUAAGUAUACAUUACUAAUAUAAAGGAGGUGUGGGUAUUUGGAAUUAUGACUGUCACAACUGAGGGCCAGAUACAUGUCCAACUUUCUCCUCUAUUCAUUUGUCAGAAAACAAACAUAAAAGGUUCCCUCUUCAUCAAGUCUGUUAACUCGUUUCUUCUAGACCAUAUAGUCCCUUUAAAAUACGUAAACAUCACCUCUCACCAGCCUUUCUCCAAAAGAGGUUCAUCAGUCUUCGCUUUCUGUAUUCCCUCUGCCCUUUGACACAGUUAUGUACUACUCUCCCAAUUAUCUUCUGUAAUAUGGACCAUAGCUGGAAGAAAUUAGACAUUGCCCAAGAUUCUGUUCUGUCUUCCUUCUCCACUAACCUGGUGAUCUAUGCACUUCCAUGAUUACAUCUCUCACUUGGAUACUGUUGACUUUGAGAUACCCAUCUCCAGCCCCAUCCACAGUACUGAGGUCCAGUCAGGAAUUUGUAAAUGUUGAACAACUCUAUCAAGAUAUGCUUCCUGCACCUCAUACCCAGUGCUUGGAAAAUAACCUCUUUGUGUUCCCUUUUCCCCUUGCCCAGAUACCUUUCCCUUCUUGAAUUUCCUUUUUAUGUUACUGGAACUAGUAGGUUCUAUUUCAGACUUGUGUAAACAAGGAGUUACCUGAGUCCUCUCCCCCACCAUAGGUUGCGUAGAUCCAACCCUGCUUUCCAUUCCUACUGAUGCCAUCCUAGCUCGGACUUCAUUAGCUUUUACUAGCAUUAGCUUUUUAGCUAUUCUCUUUCCCCUUAGGACUUUAUACCUCCAGUUUAUCCUACUCUCUGUAGUGGGUGAGUUAUCCUAAAGCACAGUUCAGACCAGGUCAUAUCUCAAAAAACAGCUCUCUGUUGCCUACUGUAUAAAAUGCAUUCUACCCCAACCUUAAAAGUGCUUCCCAAAUAUGAUCCCAAACCACCACUGCGACAUAACUCCUUGCCUGUUUUCAGCUAACUGAAAUGGCACACUCCAAAUAUAGGUAACACUUACUAGCCCCCUUGUCACUGCCUAAUUCUUUCCUCCACCUAGAAUAUCCUUUACUCCAUCUCUGACUACCAGAAAUGAAUCCCAUCCAAUGCCCAUGUUCUCCAUCAACUCGUUCCCUAUUCUCCAAGCUAGUAAUGAGCUCAGCCUCUUCUGAGUUCCUAUACCAUUUGUUCCUGUCUCUCUUUUAGAAUCAGCUACAGUAUAUAUUGUGUAUAUAAUCUUUUGUAUAAUUCUUAGUAUGUACUAUUGGGUUAUAAGCAUCUUGAGGGCAGAGACCUUGUAUUCAUGUCUAUCACCCACAAUCUCUUUUAUAUAUCAACCCCUGGAUGAAAACAGAAGCCAGGAAACAGAGUUUAGACUAAAGGAAAAAUGAAUGUAAACCUGGUUUUGUUCACAGAUGUGUAGAGCUGCAGAAGACACUACAACCUCAGUUUAAUGAAUUCAGUCAUGCAAUACUCAUUUUCUAUCCUGUACCUCUUCAUUUUAGAAAUGAACAUAACUUGCCAAGCAAGAUGACCAACACCUGUAAUCCCAGCUCCCUGAGGCUGAGGUAGGAGGCUACUUAAGCCUAUAAAUUUUGUGACCAGCUUAAGCAACAUAGUAGGACCUGGUCUCAACAGAAAUAAAUAAAUGAGUAGUAAAACCUAGGUCCAGGAAUAUGAUGUGUCUUCCUCAAGGUCACAUAACUAGUGACAGAGGAAGAAUUAGAACUCAGAUUUGAAUCUCAAUUCAUUAGCCCCAUCAAAAAAUUGAUUCCACCCUUUUCUGUGCUUCUCUAAAUAGAUAUUUUUUUGUUAAUGAAGGUUUCCUCCGUAAUUUUAUUCUUUUACAUAUUAUUUAAGCUUAAAGCAUUUGUACCACAUUCCUGGCCCCACAUAUAAUUUUAGCAAAAUUAUACUUUUUUUUUUAACCAAAGGACCAAACAGAGACAUCAGAGAAACAUCUGGUCUGAUUCAUCAGGGUAGCAGCAACAUUUCUAUUUAUACAUGAGCACAGCCCUAUCUUUGUAGCUUUCAGCUGUUGCUCAUUGCUCAGUAUGUUCCCCUUUUCAACCUUGUCUAUCCCUCAUCAAGAUAGCAUCCUGCAUCCCGAGUCUUAAACAGAAUCUAAUGCAACAAAAGAAGAUUUAUUCUCCACUCCUUAGAAAAGGAGAAUGAAUAGCGUCAACCAGAGAAAUCUGAAAGACGAACACUAGCCUUAAUGGAGAGUCCUUCAACUCAAGACAAGGAAAAGAGACUAUACUUCUAUGAAAAAAAAUUUUAAGAAGAUGUGUUUGUGCCUAUAUGAUCUCCCACCAUGAUGCGCCACCAUCUAUUGCCCUCAUUGAAAGCCAAAACAGUGUCCUCUCAUCAGUCUCCUCAUCUUGGACUUUGAACCUCUAAAACUGUGAGCUAAAUAAACCUUUUCUCUUUAUAAGUUACUUGCCUUUGGCAUUUCACUGUAGUAACACAAAGCAAACUAAUACAAUGCCCUUCCAUUACUUUGCACCUGUUCUGCGUAAUCAAACCUAGAUUAUUUCACAGUCUGCUUUUCCUGUUCUUCCUUCUCAAACAACAGGGCUGGAGAAAAUUAUAUGAUGUAGAGUCUUGUGCUGUUGCAGAUUCUGGCUCAACUGAACCCUCAGAAACUGUAUAGAUUCCUUAACUUGUCUUUGAUCAAUUUUCACCAGUAAAUAUACCUACUUUGUCUUUGUCUUUCUAUUCAAGACACAAUCAACUCAGAACUCACAUUCCUAACAAAAGUUUUCUACCUCCUAUUUAAAGGAGAAAACAUUGAGGCCACCUUCAACAUCCCCAUGCCUCUACCAUCUUUUCCUCCUCUUUUUCAAAGGUCAAAACUUCCCAUUUCUUUCAGGGCUUAAACAAUUAUUUUCUUUCUUUUUUCUUUCAGCCACACCUUCAACACUGUCCUCCCCUCAGUUCAUGUGUUCAUCUCUCUUAUCUAAUCCAAAAGCUUGACUAAUGAAGUGCACUGAUGUCUGAAACUUUCUUUGAAAUGAAUCAAAUAAAAAACUAGGUGGAUGAAUGGGUGGAUAAAUAUGUUAUAAACCAAAUAAAACAAAAUGCUGUUUGGAGAAUAUAGGUGAUGGUUACAUGGGUGUUCACUGUACCAUUCUUUCAGUGUUUCUGAAUGUUUAAAAAAUGUCAUAAUAAAAAUGUUGAGUGAAUAAGGCUUCCAAUCCAGUAUCUUUCUCCAGCCAUCAUCCAAUCUCUCUUCUUUCUUUCUCCAUCUAAACUUUUUUAAAAAGUAGACUAUACUCACUACCUGUACUUCCUGUUUAUCUCCCAAUCACUGUUGUUUUCCUCAGAUCUUUAAAAAACAUGUUAUAUAUACAGCUGAAGCCCUGUCCCUUUUUGCAGUAUUACUAGGGAUUGAGCCCAGGAACAUGCUACCACUAAACUACAUCCCUACCCCUUUUUAUUUUCUGAGACAGGGUCUCACUAAGUUGCCCAGGUUGGCCUCAAACUUGGGAUCCUCCUGCCUCAGCCUCCCAAGUAGCUGGAAUUACAAAUGUGCCCACCAUACCAAGCAUGAAGUCCUCUUUGUACUCCAUCUAGUCCUUUUCUCUUCUAACUGCCAACAUGUCAUCACUCCUAGCUACCAAGACACACCCCUAUAUGUAUCUUUCCCACAGGUAUGUAUGCAUGUAUGUAUGUAUGAAAAUCUCUGAUUCUUUUCUUCUAUUAAAUUUUUCUUUUGUGUCUUUCUAAAUUUUACAUAUAUGUGUAUAUAUAUAUUUGCAUUCAGUAUUUUGUUCUUUUUUUUUCAGUAUUGUGCUCUUAAGAUUUAUCUAUGUCAAUACUUUUGGACCUAGUACAUUCAUUUUAACUACUGUGUAGUUUUGUAUCAUGACUAUAGUCCAGCAUUACUUUACACAUUCUACUAUUGAUGGUGGUUUCCAGUUUCUCACAAUUGCAAACAAUAAUGGAAUGAUCAUCUUUAAGGCACUUCUCUUUGUGCAAAUGUAUAAAGGUUUUUCUAGAUAUAUGCCCAGAAAUUCAAAUAGGGCUUCCACAUAUUCAAUGCUACAAAAUAUUGGCAAAUUACGUUCCAUAGUGGUUGUACCAAUGUACUUUCCCUUCAGCAGGUGCGAGUUUCUUUCUUCACAGCCUUUCCAGCAUUUAGCAUUAUCAGCUAUUUUGUCAUUCUCAUAUAUGUGAAAAGUGAUCCCAUUUUAAGUUUUGCAUUUUCCUUUUCAAAAGAGAGGAUAAGCAUUUUUUUCAUGUGUUAUUGGAAAUUUGAGUUUUACUUCUCUGAAUUGCCUAAUUUACAUUCUUUGACGAUUUUUACCCUACUGCAUCUGUCUUUUUCUUAUUGAUUUACAAAAGUUCCCUUGUAUACAGACUAUACCCUAGUCUUCUGUCAGUUUUUUAAAUUCAAAUAUUUUUCCUACCCUAGUCUUAUCUUUUAACAUUGUUUGUGGUAACUUUUCUCACAUAGAAAUUUCAAUUUUAAUCUAUUAUCUUCUUAUGCUUUGUUUUUUCAUCCCUUAAAAAUGCUUUCCCUACCCUAAAAUCUUGAUUAUAUUCUCCUCUAUUAUCUUUUGAAAGCUUUAUUAUUAUGCUUUUUCAUACUGAAGUCUUUGAGCCACCUGACAUUUUUGUGUACACUGGGAAAUUAGGAUCUAUUUUUUCUGUACAAAUAAUUAAUUGAUCUAACACCAUUUAUUUGAAUAGUCCAUCUUUCCCCCAUAUACCACAUUCUAUCUACCAAGUUCUAUCUACCACAUACCAAAUUCUCCUAUGUGUUGUUCUCUUUUCUGUUGCAUUGGAUUAUUUAUCUAUUUAUGCUCUGAUACCACACUUUCCUAAUUCCUCCCUAAUCUUGUUUUUCUCUUUCAAAUUAUCUUGCCUAUUUUUGAUCCUGAACUCUUCCAUGAGCAUUUUAAACCUAGCUAGUCAAAUUCCACAAAAUACCUUAUUGGGAUUCUGACUGUAAAAUGUUAAGUUUUAUACAUUAAUUAGGGAGAAUUUUCUCUUUAUAAUAUUGUUUUCCUUCAAGAAUAUGACAUAUUUCCUCUAUUUUACAUUCAGCAAUAAAGUUUUUUUUUUUCUGUAUAGAUCUUAAACUUUUUUUGUUAGAUUUUUUUCCUGUGUAAACUGUGGCUUAUGUUGUGACUAUUCUUUGGGUAAUUGUUAUUAUAUUUUCUAAUUGUUUAUUGCAGCUGUACAGAAGCACCAUUGAUUCUUAAAUAUUGUUUUUGUGUCCAUCAACCUUGAAGAACUCCCUUAUAAGUAUUGAUAAAAUGUCAAAGGAUUGUCUUGUAUAUCUUAUUUAAUCAUAUUAUUUGCAUAAUGAUUAUUAGUUUAUUUCUUUGUUUCAAUCCCUAUACUUUCUUUUCUUGUCUUGCUACAUUGGUUAGGACCCCUCAGUACCAUAUUGAAUGGGUAUGAUAUCCAUGUCUUGUUCCUGACUUUGAACAGAAUGUUUCCAUUAUUUCAUCAUUAAAUACAGUGUUUGCUAUUGUUUUAAUAUUUAGGAUGGUCUGAUGUAUUCCUAAUUUUCUAAGAAGGAUAUUUUAAAAUCAUGAAAUGAUUGUUAAAUCUUAGUAUGUUUUUAC